rnacentral:rRNA from 1 species
GACGAACGCUGGCGGCGUGCUUAACACAUGCAAGUCGAACGGAAAGGCCCUGCUUGCAGGGUACUCGAGUGGCGAACGGGUGAGUAACACGUGGGUGAUCUGCCCUGCACUUCGGGAUAAGCCUGGGAAACUGGGUCUAAUACCGGAUAGGAGCCAUUUUUAGUGUGAUGGUUGGAAAGUUUUUUCGGUGUAGGAUGAGCUCGCGGCCUAUCAGCUUGUUGGUGGGGUAAUGGCCUACCAAGGCGGCGACGGGUAGCCGGCCUGGGAGGGUGGACGGCCACAUUGGGACUGAGAUACGGCCCAGACACCGACGGGAGGCAGCAGUGGGGAAUAUUGCACAAUGGGCGCAAGCCUGAUGCAGCGACGCCGCGUGGGGGAUGACGGCCUUCGGGUUGUAAACUCCUUUCGCUAGGGACGAAGCUUUUUGUGACGGUACCUAGAUAAGAAGCACCGGCUAACUACGUG